rnacentral:rRNA from 1 species
UACAGAGGUCCCGAGCGUUGUUCGGAUUUAUUGGGCGUAAAGGGUGCGUAGGCGGUUCUUUAAGUCAGGGGUGAAAUCCUGGAGCUCAACUCCAGAACUGCCUUUGAUACUGAAGAUCUUGAGUUCGGGAGAGGUGAGUGGAACUGCGAGUGUAGAGGUGAAAUUCGUAGAUAUUGGGAAGAACACCAGUGGCGAAGGCGGCUAACUGGUCCGAUACUGACGCUGAGGUGCGAAAGCGUGGGGAGCAAACAGG